UUCGGCCAUCUCGUUGCGGAUUGCAAUCCCUACGACGCUUACCUGCCGCCAGAUCCCGACAAUCCGGCCAGCUUCAUCGAGAAGUCCGAAGACAGCGGUGCAGCAUGAUGACCAUCGAUGAAAUUUUCGCUGAUGANNNGCAAUCCUCCCUCGGAGCGCUCGCUUCCGUGGGAAGAGAUGCGCGGCGGCGGCGGCGUCGU
rnacentral:misc_RNA from 1 species